rnacentral:rRNA from 1 species
UAGGGAAUCUUCGGCAAUGGGGGCAACCCUGACCGAGCAACGCCGCGUGAGUGAAGAAGGUUUUCGGAUCGUAAAGCUCUGUUGUAAGUCAAGAACGGGUGUGAGAGUGGAAAGUUCACACCGUGACGGUAGCUUACCAGAAAGGGACGGCUAACUACGUGCCAGCAGCCGCGGUAAUACGUAGGUCCCGAGCGUUGUCCGGAUUUAUUGGGCGUAAAGCGAGCGCAGGCGGUUUGAUAAGUCUGAAGUUAAAGGCUGUGGCUCAACCACAGUUCGCUUUGGAAACUGUCAAACUUGAGUGCAGAAGGGGAGAGUGGAAUUCCAUGUGUAGCGGUGAAAUGCGUAGAUAUAUGGAGGAACACCGGUGGCGAAAGCGGCUCUCUGGUCUGUAACUGACGCUGAGGCUCGAAAGCGUGGGGAGCGAACAGGAUUAGAUACCCUGGUAGUCCACGCCGUAAACGAUGAGUGCUAGGUGU